ACCAACACCGGCAGAGGGAUAUUUAAGAGCACCGCAAGCGACGAUCCGUCAGUCCUGAACGACCGUUCUGGGCUCCAUAACCAGCCAAGCGAAGUGAGCGAGGCAGGCCGACCUGAGUCGCGACGUGCACCGUACUGACGUGAUUCGCAAACUUAGGCAGGCCAACUCGAGACGCAAGGUGUACCGAAGUGGGGUAAUUUGCGACUCGUAUUUCAACGGAGGCAAGCGUAACGCCCAUCCGGGGGAGGACUUCGCUGGGACGAAAUAGAAAAUUGAAUUAUUAUUUUGACUUAUUUUGUAUAUAAUUUAGAAUUAAUAGAUUUGCUUUAUUUUCAA
rnacentral:lncRNA from 1 species